rnacentral:lncRNA from 1 species
UGGAAGCAUAAAGCAUAUGGAAUUACAUUGCAAGGUUACAGAUUGAAGAGUAAUUUUUAAAGAGGAGCUAGGCUCACUCAUUUUAAAUUCAUUUUUUUAAAUUAUUUGAGAGGCAGAGGGGAAGAGAGAGAGAGAGAGAAAGAGAGAGAAAGAGAAUAUGAUCCCCAAAAUGGCGUAUCCACCGGAUGCCUACAAUGGCCAGGACUGGACUGUACCAAAACUAGCAGGUUGGCACUCCAUCUCACACAUGGAUGGCUGGGACCCAGCUACUGGGCCACACCGCUAUCUCCCGGGAUCUGCAUGGACAGGAAGCUUCAAGGCAGAGUUUGAGGCAGAAGCCAUAGUUGGGAAUCCAAUCCAGGUCUUUCCUUCAUUAUCUACUACAAAUAGACUUUCUCAGGUAUCAUCCCCAGCUCAGUCUUCUCACAUUGUUCAAAUAUCCUGAGGAAUAUCAAUCAGAUCCAUGGCUUCAGUGUGUAGAAAACCCUAGCAUUUAUUAUCUCAAGCCAUUAUUUUUUUCAGUGCUCCAGACAGUUAAAUCCAAUAGCAUAAUUUACAUCUUCUCUUUGAGUAUGCUAAGGAUUCACCUAUUACAGAAAUGAACUUGUGCGUAUCCCUAACCUCCUCCUAUUUUAUUCAUUUUAGCAAAAGGCAGCAGCAUCCAGCCUGGUGUUCAAACCAGAAGCUAAACUGCCAGCCUUGUUACCUUCUUUUUUAAGGUUUUACUUAUUUGUUCGAAAAAUGGAAUUACAGAGAGAGAAAGAGAGAAAGAGAGAGAGAGAGAGAGAGAGAGAGAGAGAUGUCCUCCAUCUGCUGGGUCACCCCGCAAUGACCGCAAUAGUCAGGGCUGGGAGAGGCCAAGCCAGGAGCCUGGAACUCCUGCUGGGUAUCCCACAAUGGCGCAGGUAGUCAAGCAGUUGGGCCAUCAUCUGAUGCUUUCCCAGAUGCAUUAGCAAGGAGGUGGAUUGGAAAUGGACCAUCCAGGUAUCGAAUAGUUGCUCAUAUGGGAUGCUGGUGUUGCGGGCAGUGGUUUUACCUACUGCACCACAAUCCCAGCCCCAAGUAUAACAUUCUUAACCAUUGUUUUGACAAAGGUAUAAAACAAAAUUUUACAAUAUUUUGCAGCAAUAUUUGCAGCAAUACUGAUG